ensembl:lncRNA
GCUGGAGAGUGAUGAACACCAUCGAGGGAGAGGCCAGGCAUGCCCUGGGGUCACACUAAUUUUCGGGUCCAGGGGUCAGAACCGGAAGGGUUUUCCCAUGAUCACCAUCAGAAGCGCCCUGCUGUGCAAGUUGCCAGUCAUGGAAAAAGAAGUCCACUGGGGCUGUUUCUAAAGCUGCCGCUGGAACCCAAACUAUCUCCAUCGCAGCCAGUCCAGAGGAAAUCUACUUAUCUCCCAAGAACUCAAGAGCAGAAAACACUCCAGGGCCCAGGGGGCUUGUCUUCUGAUGGAGACUUGCGCCUCAACUGGGUCAUGAAGCCCAGGCCUGUGAUCCCAACAGGGCAAGGAUCUAAGGGAAAACCACCGGGCUUCCACUUGCCUACCUUCCCACAGCAGGUCCAGCAGAAGCAGGAGAGGCUGAAGUCCAAGGUGUUUCCAUUCUGGGAACAUGCUAACAGUGUCCAGAGUGGAAAAACGGGCCCUGCAGUCCCCAAGACAGAGACCCGGGCCACUAAUGAGAGAGAAAAUUCCCAGUGGAGCACAGGCUGGGGAACAAAGAACUUCUCAAGCCCAGGCCUGGGAGAGUUACACCCCACCAAGCCCAAAAUCUCAUGGGAACCAAAAGAGGCCAAUAGUACUUCUCAUCUACAACACUCAUCCUCACUUCCCUUCCUAAGAGGCAGUACUUCUGGCACCGGCCGUGACUCACCCUGCUAUUGUUCCAUUUGCUUUCCUUCUCCAGUUUUUGGGAAUCUUGUGAAGGUUGUGCCAAUGAAGAAGACCCCAGUGAAUACCCCAACUGCCAAUCAGAAUACAUCCACUAUGGCCAAGAAUUCCCAAGUGCUAAAGAAUAAUAAUAAGCAAACUGUGAAGCUUAAAUCAGCUCUUAUUACCAGCUGCUCAGAUGGUACACCAGGGUCCCAGAGACGGUUCCAUCCAUUUCGGGUUCGCUUUGAAGAUGAAAGUCCCAAGGAUAUGGCACUCCGAUACUGGGAGAGGAACUAUGAGGUUCAGAAAAGCCUUCACAAGAGCACAGUCGCAUGUCAGUCCCCAGAACAGAUGCCAGGAAAACCAGGAAUAUGGAUGGAUGGAGUUUCAAGGAGUGGACCUCAGCAGACAAACUUGUGGCAAGAUGAAUCCCUUUGUGAUACCAGAAGGAACAUCUUACCCACGUCAUUCCAGGGCUUGUCUGCUGAUAACCUAAAGAAGACGACCAAUUACAGCGCUGUGUUUUCUAGUCCACUGGCCACCGUCGACUUCUCUGACACCAAGCCGUUCCAGGACCUGAUCACGGAUCACCCGAAGAAGAGUUCCACCUGCAGCAAUCCCUACUCCAGCCCCCUGAGCAGCAUUGAUUUCUCUGGUACCAGCCCCAUCCAGGACCUGCCUGCCGAUACUAUGAAGAAGGAUCUGUCUAGCGAUCUCUCUACACACACCUCCUUGUUCUCCAGCCCAGCAACCACCAUUGACAGGUCAAAAAGCCGAUCCUUCAAUAAUAGGACCACUCCUGCGAGAGAAAACUCUCCUUCUUUGUGGGUUCCCAGAAUGGACUCCUAUGGACCUCACUGGAAGUUGUCAAACAGCUGGAGGGGAGGACAACCAACAGUUUACCCAAUCUUCCCUUCACUUACCCAGAUCCGGGCUCAAAGGUCUGAAAGUCCCAAGUGGCUCCUGAACAACAAGGCAACAUGGUAAUAUG